CACGUAGUUAGCCGUGACUUUCUGGUUGGAUACCGUCACUGCGUGAACAGUUACUCUCACGCACGUUCUUCUCCAACAACAGAGCUUUACGAGCCGAAACCCUUCUUCGCUCACGCGGUGUUGCUCCAUCAGGCUUGCGCCCAUUGUGGAAGAUUCCCUACUGCUGCCUCCCGUAGGAGUAUGGACCGUGUCUCAGUUCCAUUGUGGCCGAUCAGUCUCUCAACUCGGCUAUGCAUCAUCGCCUUGGUAAGCCGUUACCUUACCAACUAGCUAAUGCACCGCAGGUCCAUCCCAGAGUGAUAGCCAAAGCCAUCUUACAAACAAAGCCAUGUGGUCUUUUGUGUUAUGCGGUAUUAGCAUCUGUUUACCAAAUCGUUACUCCCCCGCUCCGAGGGCAGGUUACCUACGUUGUUACCUCACCCGUCCGCCACUCACGUUGGUGACUACCGAACGUACAAGUCAGGGU
rnacentral:rRNA from 1 species